AUUCCAGCUCCAAUAGCGUAUAUUAAAGUUGUUGCGGUUAAAAAGCUCGUAGUUGGAUUUCUGCCGAGGAUGACCGGUCCGCCCUGUGGGUGUGCAUCUGGCUCAGCCUUGGCAUCUUCCUGAAGAACGUAGCUGCACUUGACUGUGUGGUGCGGUAUUUAGGACAUUUACUUUGAGGAAAUUAGAGUGUUUCAAGCAAGCGCACGCUUUGAAUACAUUAGCAUGGAAUAAUAAGAUAGGACCUCGGUUCUAUUUUGUUGGUUUCUAGAGCUGAGGUAAUGAUUGAUAGGGAUAGUUGGGGGUAUUCGUAUUUAAUUGUCAGAGGUAAAAUUCUUGGAUUUAUGAAAGACGAACUUCUACGAAAGCAUUUACCAAAGAUGUUUUCAUUA
rnacentral:rRNA from 1 species